UAACUCGUAGAAAUUAGUUUAGUUCGAUUUUGAGUAUGUUUGGUAUGUUUCGGACAAUUAAAAGUAAAAUUGAUGAGGACAGAUUUGAAACAGUUAUAAAAAAUAUCAAGCUCACCCCAAUUGUGUUAUAACAGAAAUCUAGUGUAAACUCUUCAUUAUUCUGGGAUUUUCAGAGCAUAGCUUGUGGAGGGAAGGGGAAAAUAUUGGGAAUCAAGGAGAAAGAUUGAGUUGAGCAACGUGGUGUUGAAAAAUGAGUGGAAGUAUCUGCAUCAUUUCUCUUCAAGAUUGGACUUAGAGCAUAUAUUCAGACUCCUCUAGGUGAGGACUAUCCAUUGAAGUGUGUUUGGCGAAUUCAGAGCGGGCCGACAGGAAGUUAACCCGAGCAAUCAAAGUUUGACUUUGUCUGGAAUCCCAAAAUCAAAAAAUGAUUGUUAUUAUGUUCUGAGCAUGAUUUUGAAUAGAUGAAGGCCGUUGGAGUUCGUUCGGAACAGGUUGAACAUUUCAAGUGAAGUAAAGCUUGUCUAUUUCGAGGCAAGUGAGACCUUAACUUCUCGAAUACUUGUUUUUCUAAUGUCAUGAUUUAAAACUUAGCAUUAUUUGAUUUACAAAAACUUAGUGCAUUGUAGGACAACCGUAGACUAAAUUUUGUAUAAUUUUACGGCAAAUAUUGUGAUUUGGAUUGUUUCUUCGAUGAAUUCAUACUGAUUGCUUUCAA